rnacentral:lncRNA from 1 species
UGCUAGUCGGCUACCUUGUUUUCAACCAUUUUGCCUUGGUUUACAGUUCUUAAUGGGUUCUCUACGAAGUGAAUAUCCAGAGUGUAGACACCACCGGCAAUACGUGCAAACUCUUUCAGAGAUUCCUCUUGGAACAGUGCUCCCCGGAAGGGAGAGUGACAUCUCGGCGCUCACCUCAUCGAAGGGAAAGAAGCUACCUGUCCUCAUCCUUUGCAGAUCUAACUGUGCCUUUCAUCGAGCCCGGCCAUUUGGUAGACAUCAGCCCCACCGGGAGCCCCCCGCCUGGCUCUGCUCGAGUGCAGAUGAAGAUCCCUGGCCCGACUCCAAGCCCGCUGAGACACCCUUAUUCCGGAUCCAGCUUUGGUGCUUCCAGCUUGAAGAGCUGCCGGGUCGAGUGCAAGAACGGUGUGGAUUAUUGACCUUCUGGACAUCGAAAUGGAGCCUCGCACCACAUUGAAAGAUCAGAAAUAAAGUUGAAGUCUGGAGACAACAAUUUUAACCAGCAUAUGGAGACUUCAUUAGCCCUUUUCAGCUUCAGAAAGAGAUCAUGAUGAUGAUAACCAAUUAGAGUAUAUAUUGAGUGUUUUCUCUUUGCAGAGAACUGUACUAAGGACUUGUGAAAGCACGCUAGAACCGGUAGACGAUCUCUGGCCUCAAGGAACUUACAGUCAAGUUGGGGAGUUAGGCACUAAAAUAAAUAAAAACUAGGGGAAGCAGCCAAGAUAUGGACAUAAGGGAUGAAGUGUGACAGAAGUGCUGAAGAGGUGGGUAGUGGGGAAAUAGGGCGGGGAGAGAGAGGAGAUGUGAUUCUAGUAAGGCUUUUGAAAGUGCCAUAUCGAUCAGUCGAUCUGUGGUAUUUAUUAAGUGGUUACUAUGUGCAGAGCACUGUUCUAAGUGCUUGGGAGAGUUACAGUACAACAGAAUUAGCAGAUCCGUUCCCUGUCCAUAACGAGCUGGAAGAUGUGAAGGGAGAAGGAUUUCCAGGCAGGAGGGAAGCCAUAAGCAUGGGAUCAUCUGGGAGAGAGACCAGAGUGAGAACAGUGAGGAGGCUGUGACGUUAGAGGAACAGAGUGCGCAGGCUGGGUUAUAGUGGAAGAGUAGUGAGGAUAAUUAGGAGUCAAAGAGCCGACUGAGGGCCUGAAAAUGAAUGCAGGUUUUGUUGUUACUGAUCAUUUAAUAUAUAUAUAUACUGAUAUUUAUAUAUGAUGUAUACUGCUACGUAUGGUAUAAGAUAUAUACUAAUCAUUUACAUAUAUAUAUUGUCCUUUGAAGUCUGCAUUAUCUGGACUGUGAUCACGAGUAACCUGAAGACAUACAGGACUAUCGUUCUGAGGUAUUAACAUCACUCUUGCCCUGAAACCUGAUUUCUUUUUAGGUUUUGCCACUUCAAUGAUUUCCCUUUUGCCACCCCAGCGGAGGGGUGAGCCUAGCUCUUCUCGCCUAGGCCACCCUCUCAAAUGGUGGAGACUGUAGACUCUAGUGUAAUCUCUUGGAAGGGUAGGGAAUCAUGUGUCCCGAUUCUAUUGUACUGUCCUCUCCCAAGCCAAUAGUACAGAGCCCUGCACAAGGUGAGUACUCAAUAAAUACCACUGAUUGAUUGGCAGAAUUAAGAUCCUGUGAAAUUUUGCCAGUUUGGGCCCCUGCUGAAAGGUUUCUACAUCAGGUUGGGAUGUGGGGAGAUGUAUUUAAAUGCACACUAAUGACCCCCUCUGGGGACAGAGUGUGAACCCAAGCGGGACAGGGAUUGUGUUUGAUCUAAUUUUCUUGCAUCCACCCCAGCACUUAAUACCGUGCUGGUUCCAUAGUAAGGACUUAACAAAUAGCACCAUUAUUAUUCCUAGAGGUAGGAAUUGGGUGUAUAUGGUACAGUCCCUUCCCCUGCACCAACGAAGGGCUAGAUACACGGCAUGGAAGCCACUGAAUCUUCCCUGAAAGACUGGAAGCCCAGGAUAGAUCAUCAUCAUAAUAAUAAUAUUUGUUAAGCACUUACUAUGUGCCAGGCACUGUACUAAGCCCUGGGGUAGAUACAAGCAAAUCAGUUUGGAUACAGUCCUUGCCCCCCAUGGGGAUCACAGUGUUAACCCCCAUUUUACAGAUGAGGUAACUGAGGCACAGAGAAGUUAAGGUCACACAGCAAAGUGGUGGAGUUAGGAUUGGAACCCAGGUCCAUCUGACUCUCAGGCCCAUGCUCUGUCCACUAGGCUGUGGUGCUUCUCUGUUUAUCUACUCUAAUCCUUUCCACCAUGAUGGUGAUGAUUGAGUCCCCCAUCGGAAAUGGCAGGACAAGCCUUAGGCCAGUCACAAAGGCUUCUGGACUACAGACCUGGGCAAAGGAAGGGGUUAGUGAUAAUGACUUGGUUUUGCUCCUUGCACAUUUUCACUGUUGCUAGCCAUGACCCACGCUAGGGCAGUGGGUACCAAAUAUCAGUAGGUAGGCAGGGGUGCAGCACUACUAAUACUAAUUACUAAUGAUGCUAAUAGUGAUACUAAUAGUAAUAAUUGUGGUUUUUGUUAAGCACUUACAGUGUUCCAAGCACUGUUCUAAGUGCUGGGAUAGAUAUAAGAUCAGGUCCCACAUGGGGCUCACAGUAUGAGUAAGAGGGCAGUUAGGUAUUGAAUUCCCAUUUUACAGGAGGGAACGGGGACACAGAGAAGUUAAGUGACUUGCCCAAGAUAUCACAGCAGACAAGUGGCAGAGACCAAAUUAGAACUCAGAACCGCUGACUUCCAGGCCCAUGCACUUUCCACUAGACCUUGCUGCUUCUCUUCCCAUUGCAAAGCACAUGCAAGGAUUUUACCUAUCAAGCCAAUGCUGAGAUCAACAUCUGUGUUCAGGGAUUAUGUCUAGCAUCUCUGUUAGAUUGUACUUGCCCAAGCACUUAGUACAGUGCUCUGCACACAGUAAGCAUUCAUUAAAUGCCACUGAUUGAUAGUGACCCACAGCGAUCAAAGCAAUCACUUUCCACGAUGACAGGGCACGUGUCAGCUAGUUAUCCCGUACUCUCCAAAGUGCUUAGAACAGUGCUCAGUACAUAGCGCUCAAUAAAUAACACUGAUUGAUUGAAAACAGGCGUUUUUCCUGCCGUCGUGACUGCCAUUUUCGGGGGCCCCACAGAGAAAGAAAAGACUGGGUUAUAAAAUCUUCUGCAAAGGACUUUGCUCAUCUAAAGUACACACGGGGAAGCCUAGAGGUUCUCAGAGCACACUUGGCAAGGUUGCUGUGUUACAACUUUUUGUGAAACAUGCACCAGAACAGAGUUUAGGAGCGGUCAAGAGUGAUCUGGGGGGCGAGGCAGUUGUAAUCAAGUUGCCUACAGGGCCCUGGUACUCCACACCCCUGCGGCACCCCACAGCAAGCCUAAAAGAACCACACUGAGUAGUUGAAGCACAGAUAAUAGCAACGACUGCGGCACUUGUUAAAUGCUUAUUAUAAGCCAGGCACUGUACUAAAUGCGGGAGGUGAUAGAGUCAAGAUCAUCUGGUCAGACGAGGUUCCUGGCCCACUUGGGGCUCACAGUCUAAGUGGGAGGGAAAAUAUGCAUUUCAUCCCCAUUUUAGAGAUGUGGAAACAGAAGCACCAAGCUAAGUAACUUGCCUAAGGUAACCCAGCAGGUAAGUGGUGAGGCCAGGAUUAAAACCUCCAAAUCCCAGGCCCGUGCUCUUUCCCCCUUUCCCUUUCCCCCAACUCCCAGCCCCGCAGCACUUAUUCAUUCAUUCAGUUGUAUUUAUUGAGCGCUUACUGUGUGCAGAGCACUGUACUAAGCGCUUGGAAAGUACAAUUCACCAACAGAGACAAUCCCUGCCCACAACGGGCUCACACAUUCAUAACUGUAAUUUAUUUAUAUUAAUGUCUGUGUCCAUGCCCUAGGCUAUAAUCUCUCUGUGGUCAGGGAAUGUGUUUGUUAUAUUGUUAUAUCAUACUCUCCCAAGUGCUUAAUGCAGUGCUUUGCACAAAGUAAUCACUUAAUAAAUACGAUUGACUGACUGACUGACUAACUAGGCUGCAUUGACUUUUAGUAAACAUCUAUUACUUUCUCCUCCUCGAUCCAGGUGAAUGCCCAAGCCAUUCUAAGCAAGUGAUUUCCCAAACAAGAACUACCCAAAUCUUCCCUGUCUAAUAUCCUGACCCAGAAUUCAUUCACCCUGAGGGUCCAGUUUCACAAAUUCAACUGCUGGUUGUUAGUUCUGGUCCAUACUGUUGGUUAGUGAUGGACACGGUGAACAUUUUUAUGAUUUUUCUUUUGGUGCCUAUAUGAUAUAUGUAUGUAUUGAGUAAUUUUUUUUUUAGUUUCUAAUCAUUUGUGGAUUGGGACUUCCUUUGGAAAAUGUUCCAGGAUCUGUGGUUAUCUUAUUAAGAAUUUUUCUGUUGAUAUGCUACUCCAGAUUUCCUACACUUGUUAUAAUUUCUCCUGUGAAUCAUUUAUUCCCUUCUGUCUGUAACCAGGUGUAUUUUAGCAUCAGGUGAGAGUUCUGGGGUUCCAUCAAUAGUUUGCUCAGUAUCUUAGGGCAAAUCACUUAAAGUUUGUGAAGACAUGGUUUAUUUUCCCUGUUACAGAGUUACCUCUUGGGGAUUUAUGAAAUACCAUUUAUUAGCACAAUGAACUUUAGAAACAGGCAGCGCAUUUAUUCUCCGAAUGUAAUUUGCCAUUAAGAUGCUUAAAACAUCUCGAUCCUUUGCCCUCGGUGUUCAAGAACUGG